GUUGACCUCGGAUCAGGUAGGAAUACCCGCUGAACUUAAGCAUAUCAAUAAGCGGAGGAAAAGAAACCAACAGGGAUUGCCCUAGUAACGGCGAGUGAAGCGGCAACAGCUCAAAUUUGAAAUCUGGCCUCGGCCCGAGUUGUAAUUUGCAGAGGAUGCUUUUGGCGAGGCGCCUAGCGAGUUUCCCUGGAACGGGACGCCACAGAGGGUGAGAGCCCCGUAUGGUAGGACGCCUAGCCUGUGUAUAGCUCCUUCGACGAGUCGAGUAGUUUGGGAAUGCUGCUCAAAAUGGGAGGUAAAUCUCUUCUAAAGCUAAAUACCGGCCAGAGACCGAUAGCGCACAAGUAGAGUGAUCGAAAGAUGAAAAGCACCUUGAAAAGGGGGUUAAAAAGCACGUGAAAUUGUUGAAAGGGAAGCGCUUGUGACCAGACUUGCGCCGGGCGGCUCAACCGGGGUUCUCCCCGGGGCACUCCGCCCGGCUCAGGCCAGCAUCAGUUCUGGCCGGGGGACAAGAGAUCGGGGAACGUAGCUCCCUCCGGGGAGUGUUAUAGCCCCUUUCACGAUACCCUGGCCGGGACUGAGGACCGCGCUCCGGCAUGGAUGCUGGCGUAAUGGUCACCAGCGACCCGUCUUGAAACACGGACCAAGGAGUCGUCCAUUAGAGCGAGCGUUUGGGUGCAAAACCCGCACGCGUAAUGAAAGUGAACGCAGGUGAGAGCUUCGGCGCAUCAUCGACCGAUCCUGAUGUUCUCGGAUGGAUUUGAGUAAGAGUUUUACUGGACGGACCCGAAAGACAGUGAACUAUGCUUGUAUAGGGUGAAGCCAGAGGAAACUCUGGUGGAGGCUCGCAGCGGUUCUGACGUGCAAAUCGAUCGUCAAAUAUGAGCAUGGGGGCGAAAGACUAAUCGA
rnacentral:rRNA from 1 species